AGCAGCCGCGGUAAUUCCAGCUCCAAUAGCGUAUAUUAAAGUUGCUGCAGUUAAAAAGCUCGUAGUUGAAUUUCGGGAUCAAUAUGUCGGUCGUGCCUCGGUACGUACUGGCUUAUUGGUUUCUCCUUUCUGAAGAACCAUGAUGUCAUUUAUUUGGUGUCGUGGGAAAUCAGGACUGUUACUUUGAAGAAAUUAGAGUGUUUAAAGCAGGCUCACGCUUGAAUACAUUAGCAUGGAAUAAUGAAAUAGGACGUUUGAUUCUAUUUUGUUGGUUUCUAGGAUCGACGUAAUGAUUAAUAGGGAUAGUUGGGGGCAUUAGUAUUCAAUUGUCAGAGGUGAAAUUCUUGGAUUUAUUGAAGACUAACUACUGCGAAAGCAUUUGCCAAGGAUGUUUUCAUUAAUCAAGAACGAAAGUUAGGGGAUCGAAGACGAUCAGAUACCGUCGUAGUCUUAACCAUAAACUAUGCCGACUAGGGAUCGGAUGAUGUUAAUUUUUUUAAUGACUC
rnacentral:rRNA from 1 species